rnacentral:rRNA from 2 species
UACGAAGGGGGCUAGCGUUGUUCGGAAUUACUGGGCGUAAAGCGCACGUAGGCGGUCCGUUAAAUUAGAAGUGAAAGCCCUGGGCUCAACCCGGGAAUUGCUUUUAAGACUGGCGGACUGGAAUCCGAGAGAGGGCAGUGGAAUUCCCAGUGUAGAGGUGAAAUUCGUAGAUAUUGGGAAGAACACCAGUGGCGAAGGCGACUGCCUGGCUCGGUAUUGACGCUGAGGUGCGAAAGCGUGGGGAGCAAACAGG